AUUGAACGCUGGCGGCAUGCUUUACACAUGCAAGUCGAACGGCAGCGCGGGCUUCUGCCUGGCGUCGCGUGGCGAACGGGCGAGUAAUACAUCGGAACGUGCCCAGCAGUGGGGGAUAGCUUGGCUAAAGCCGGAUUAAUACCGCAUACGACCUGAUGGUGAAAGCGGGGGAUCUUCGGACCUCGCGCUAUUGGAGCGGCCGAUGGCAGAUUAGCUAGUUGGUGGGGUAAAGGCCUACCAAGGCGACGAUCCGUAGCGGGUCUGAGAGGACGACCAGCCACACUGGAACUGAGACACGGCCCAGACUCCUACGGGAGGCAGCAGUGGGGAAUUUUGGACAAUGGGCGAAAGCCUGAUCCAGCAAUGCCGCGUGUGUGAUGAAGGCCUUCGGGUUGUAAAGCACUUUUGGCGGGAACGAAAAAGACUGUGCCAAUCCAACCGCUCGAUGACGGUACCCGCAGAAUAAGCACCGGCUAACUACGUG
rnacentral:rRNA from 1 species